ACGUAUGGUGCGAACGUUGUUCGGAAUCACUGGGCAUAAAGAGCACGUAGGCGGUUGAGCAAGUCCAUUGUGAAAUCCCCCGGCCUAACCGGGGAACUGCAUUGGAUACUACUUGACUUGAGUGCAGGAGGGGAGAGUGGAGUUCCAGGUGGAGCGGUGAAAUGCGUAGAUAUCUGGAGGAACGCCGGCGGCGAAAGCGACUCUCUGGUCUGUAACUGACGCUGAGGUGCGAAAGCUAAGGGAGCAAACGGGA
rnacentral:rRNA from 1 species